AGUGAACGCUGGCGGUAGGCCUAACACAUGCAAGUCGAACGGCAGCACAGUAAGAGCUUGCUCUUACGGGUGGCGAGUGGCGGACGGGUGAGGAAUACAUCGGAAUCUACUUUUUCGUGGGGGAUAACGUAGGGAAACUUACGCUAAUACCGCAUACGACCUACGGGUGAAAGCAGGGGAUCUUCGGACCUUGCGCGAUUGAAUGAGCCGAUGUCGGAUUAGCUAGUUGGCGGGGUAAAGGCCCACCAAGUCGACGAUCCGUAGCUGGUCUGAGAGGAUGAUCAGCCACACUGGAACUGAGACACGGUCCAGACUCCUACGGGAGGCAGCAGUGGGGAAUAUUGGACAAUGGGCGCAAGCCUGAUCCGGCCAUACCGCGUGGGUGAAGAAGGCCUUCGGGUUGUAAAGCUCUUUUGUUGGGAAAGAAAAGCAGCAGGUUAAUACCCCGCUGUUCUGACGGUACCCAAAGAAUAAGCACCGGCUAACUUCGUG
rnacentral:rRNA from 1 species